rnacentral:rRNA from 1 species
CCUACGGGAGGCAGCAGUGAGGAAUAUUGGUCAAUGGACGAGAGUCUGAACCAGCCAAGUAGCGUGAAGGAUGACGGCCCUAUGGGUUGUAACCUUCUUUUAUAAAGGAAUAAAACGAGGCACGUGUGCCUUUUUGCAUGUACUUUAUGAAUAAGGAUGGGCUAACUACGUGCCAGCAGCCGCGGUAAUACGGCGGAUCCGAGCGUUAUCCGGAUUUAUUGGGUUUAAAGGGCGCGUAGAUGGGUUGUUAAGUCAGUUGUGAAAGUUUGCGGCUCAACCGUAAAAUUGCAAUUGAUACUGGCAGUCUUGAGUACAGUUGAGGUAGGCGGAAUUCGUGGUGUAGCGGUGAAAUGCGUAGAUAUCACGAAGAACACCGAUUGCGAAGGCAGCUUACUAAACUGUGACUGACAUUGAUGCUCGAAAGUGUGGGUAUCAAACAGGAUUAGAUACCCGUGUAGUC